GCAGUCGAGGGGUACAGGGAUUAGUUUACUAAUUUGCUGACGACCGGCGCACGGGUGAGUAACGCGUAUACAAUUUACCUUUUACAGGAGGAUAGCCCAGAGAAAUUUGGAUUAAUACUCCAUGGCAUUACGAAAUCGCAUGGUUUUGUAAUUAAAGCUUCGGCGGUAGAAGAUGAGUAUGCGUCCUAUUAGCUAGUUGGUAAGGUAACGGCUUACCAAGGCGACGAUAGGUAGGGGUCCUGAGAGGGAGAUCCCCCACACUGGUACUGAGACACGGACCAGACUCCUACGGGAGGCAGCAGUGAGGAAUAUUGGUCAAUGGAGGCAACUCUGAACCAGCCAUGCCGCGUGCAGGAAGACUGCCCUAUGGGUUGUAAACUGCUUUUAUACAGGAAGAAACUUAUCCACGUGUGGAUAACUGACGGUACUGUACGAAUAUGGACCGGCUAACUCCGUGCCAGCAGCCGCGGUAAUACGGAGGGUCCAAGCGUUAUCCGGAAUCAUUGGGUUUAAAGGGUCCGUAGGCGGGCGAUUAAGUCAGAGGUGAAAUCCCACAGCUCAACUGUGGAACUGCCUUUGAUACUGGUUGUCUUGAGUUACAGUGAAGUAGAUAGAAUAUGUAGUGUAGCGGUGAAAUGCAUAGAUAUUACAUAGAAUACCGAUUGCGAAGGCAGUCUACUAACUGUGAACUGACGCUAAGGGACGAAAGCGUGGGGAGCGAACAGGAUUAGAUACCCUGGUAGUCCACGCCGUAA
rnacentral:rRNA from 1 species